rnacentral:rRNA from 1 species
UACAGAGGGUGCAAGCGUUAAUCGGAGUUACUGGGCGUAAAGGGCGCGUAGGCGGUGGAACAUGUGCGAUGUGAAAGCCCUGGGCUUAACCUGGGAAGUGCAUCGCAAACGGUUUCACUGGAGUAGAUGAGAGGGUGGCGGAAUUUCCGGUGUAGCGGUGAAAUGCGUAGAGAUCGGAAGGAACGUCAAUGGCGAAGGCAGCCACCUGGCAUCAUACUGACGCUGAAGCGCGAAAGCGUGGGGAGCGAACAGG